GACGAACGCUGGCGGCGUGCCUAAUACAUGCAAGUAGAACGCACAGUUUAUACCGUAGCUUGCUACACCAUAGACUGUGAGUUGCGAACGGGUGAGUAACGCGUAGGUAACCUGCCUGGUAGCGGGGGAUAACUAUUGGAAACGAUAGCUAAUACCGCAUAAUAUUAAUUAUUGCAUGAUAAUUAAUUGAAAGGUGCAAUUGCACCACUACCAGAUGGACCUGCGUUGUAUUAGCUAGUAGGUGAGGUAACGGCUCACCUAGGCGACGAUACAUAGCCGACCUGAGAGGGUGAUCGGCCACACUGGGACUGAGACACGGCCCAGACUCCUACGGGAGGCAGCAGUAGGGAAUCUUCGGCAAUGGACGAAAGUCUGACCGAGCAACGCCGCGUGAGUGAAGAAGGUUUUCGGAUCGUAAAGCUCUGUUGUAAGAGAAGAACGGGUGUGAGAGUGAAAGUUCACACUGUGACGGUAUCUUACCAGAAAGGGACGGCUAACUACGUG
rnacentral:rRNA from 1 species